UACGUAGGGGGCAAGCGUUGUCCGGAAUUAUUGGGCGUAAAGAGCGUGUAGGCGGCCAGCUAAGUCAGACGUGAAAUCCCCAGGCUCAACCUGGGAACUGCGUCUGAUACUGGAUGGCUUGAAUUCGGGAGAGGGAUGCAGAAUUCCAGGUGGUAGCGGUGAAAUGCGUAGAUAUCUGGAGGAAUACCGGUGGCGAAGGCGGCAUCCUGGACCGACAUUGACGCUGAUGAGCGAAAGCUAGGGGAGCAAACGGGG
rnacentral:rRNA from 1 species